AACGAACGCUGGCGGCAGGCCUAACACAUGCAAGUCGAACGCAUCGCAAGAUGAGUGGCGCACGGGUGAGUAACACGUGGGAAUGUAUCCUUUGGUUCGGAAUAACGUCUGGAAACGGACGCUAAUACCGGAUGAGCCCUUAGGGGGAAAGAUUUAUCGCCGAAGGAGCAGCCCGCGUCUGAUUAGGUAGUUGGUGGGGUAAAGGCCUACCAAGCCGACGAUCAGUAGCUGGUCUGAGAGGAUGAUCAGCCACACUGGGACUGAGACACGGCCCAGACUCCUACGGGAGGCAGCAGUGGGGAAUAUUGGACAAUGGGCGCAAGCCUGAUCCAGCCAUGCCGCGUGAGUGAUGAAGGCCUUCGGGUUGUAAAGCUCUUUCGCACACGACGAUGAUGACGGUAGUGUGAGAAGAAGCCCCGGCUAACUUCGUGCCAGCAGCCGCCGUAAAAC
rnacentral:rRNA from 1 species